CAGUUGGUGCGGUAUUUCGCACCGCCUCCACUGAGAUGGAACCUGUUGCUGGAUGGAUGAUCUCCCAUGUUCCCACCGUGUUUUCCGUGGUGGCCUUCGCGAUCUCCCUGAUCGCGUUUAAUGGGAGCAUCGCGGACUGUUCGCAGGUUUCCUCAUUUUGCUGGUCAUCGUGGAGGCUGUAAUGCUGGAGCAUAAAUUAACCCUGAGGGCCACGGCAGUAAUCAGUACAAUCUUCCAUUGAUGAACUUCAGAGGAAGUUCCACUGCUGUGGAGCAGAAAACUACACGGAAUGGGGGAACAGCGGUGCUGUGCCAGAGUCCUGCUGCAGGAUCGGAUCCCUGGCCUGGGGGCAGAACACUUCGGUCCAGAGUAUUUACCGCAAGGCGCCGGGAGAAAUGUAGCACGUCGGCUGGACGGUGACCUCUAACCUAUCCCAGAACGCUGGCUCCGAUCCGGGCCUGCCCAGGGCGGAUGCCGGGCUCGGUCCUCUGGGAGAAGAAAAGAGCUUUCCAGUAACCUCCCCCGGGAUGUGGCCAGGGCCGUGCUUGGGCUCCUUGAACAUUAUCUCCUAACAGCCUCCUUACUGCCCAGCACCAUGUAGAAAAUCCCUUACCAUUACUUUCCAGGUAUGAUAUCAGAGGGUUAACUGAACCGAUGUGAAUACAAAGGGGCAAAGACCAUUUCCUCACCAUUUUUUUUUCAGUCUGAGCUAAUGCUGCACCGACUUAAUGAUGUAGUAACUUUUUCCAUAUUGUGCUUGAAAUGGAACCAGGCAAAGGCUGCUGCAAAAACCCUCAUUACCUUUGAUGUAGAACUAAAUAUCCCAUUUGGCAAAUCACCUUGUGAUUUUAAGUCUUGGAUUAGGUAUAAUUAGAGCUGGUGGAAAUAAAAAUCCACCUCGUUUUUGGAGCGGGUCAUCGGAGCAGGAAUGCGUCUGGCUUUUGGUAGGAGUUAGCCGGGUGUUUAGUCAGAGGCCUGUGAACAUCGGUCACUGGUCUCGCAGAAUCGCCGCCCUGCUGCCUGACAUAUGGUCUUUAAUUACCUGUUUCUGGAAGGCUAGAGCCAGAUAUCAAAUAAGUCGGCAUUUUGUUGUAAUUAGGGGUUCAGGCAACGGCAAGUGUGAGAUCCUAUCAAACUUUGGCAUUGAUCACUAGACGCCUCUCGCUUAUCCAAAGCAGGUUUACAGAAAUUAAAGGUCGUGUCUAAAACCAGCUGGACAGCAUUGUGGUCUGUGACUUGUGGCCCUAGAAUCAUAAUCAUAUGUUUGAAAUGUAACUAUCUGGCUUUUGAGAGAAGUAUGACAAAAUCCCUCUCUGUAGUGCAAUCCGUCGCAUUCAUUGUAACUUCUUGAAUUAACACGACUGUUGCCGUUUAAGGGAUGAUGCCAGCUAGUUAAUGAGUCUAGUUCCCCAGCAGGGGGCAUCCUACUCAUGAAACUAAAGUCUGCUUGUGUGCUUUUUAUUGGUGGUUUACCUUAAGGGAGAUGCAUUUGUAGACUUAUUCGGAUAUGGAUUUAUUUGGAUCUGUUUCUAAUCUUUUAUGAAAGUUGAUCCAAUAUCCAUAGAUUGGUACAAAUAUCGAUAUAAUUUUCCCCUCCAAUUUUUUUCAUACAAAGCUGUAUCUGGCCAUUGUUUCGCAUUAACUUUAACAGCCCCUACUCUGUAUAUUCAUUUCCCCCACUGUCUUAUCUUUUUCCCCCCCAUUACAAAAUUACUCAGCUACCUCUUAAUUGUCUGUAUCUCCCCUGUAAUGGAAGCCCUGCAUUUGCAGUGCAAGACCUCACCGUCCAACUCUCAAUCAACUAAGCUUCCUGCCAAAUCUCACCUCUCUGAGUUUUCUAUUCACGCCUGAUGCCCUACGAGAGGUCAUAUCGUUACGUGACAUGUGGUCACUUACCA